rnacentral:rRNA from 1 species
CCUACGGGUGGCAGCAGUGGGGAAUAUUGGACAAUGGGGGCAACCCUGAUCCAGCCAUGCCGCGUGUGUGAAGAAGGCCCUCGGGUUGUAAAGCACUUUCAGUGAGGAAGAACGCCUGGUGGUUAAUACCCAUCAGGAAAGACAUCACUCACAGAAGAAGCACCGGCUAACUCCGUGCCAGCAGCCGCGGUAAUACGGAGGGUGCGAGCGUUAAUCGGAAUUACUGGGCGUAAAGCGCGCGUAGGUGGCUUGAUAAGCCGGUUGUGAAAGCCCCGGGCUCAACCUGGGAACGGCAUCCGGAACUGUCAAGCUAGAGUGCAGGAGAGGAAGGUAGAAUUCCCGGUGUAGCGGUGAAAUGCGUAGAGAUCGGGAGGAAUACCAGUGGCGAAGGUGGCCUUCUGGACUGACACUGACACUGAGGUGCGAAAGCGUGGGUAGCAAACAGGAUUAGAUACCCUUGUAGUC